rnacentral:rRNA from 1 species
AUUGAACGCUGGCGGCAGGCCUAACACAUGCAAGUCGAGCGAGCGGCGGACGGGUGAGUAAUGUCUGGGAAACUGCCUGCUGGAGGGGGAUAACUACUGGAAACGGUAGCUAUUACUGCAUACCAUCAGAUGUGCCCAGAUGGGAUUAGCUAGUAGGUGGGGUAACGGCUCACCUAGGCGACGAUCCCUAGCUGGUCUGAGAGGAUGACCAGCAACACUGGAACUGAGACACGGUCCAGACUCCUACGGGAGGCAGCAGUGGGGAAUAUUGCACAAGGGGCGCAAGCCUGAUGAAGCCAUGCCGCGUGUGUGAAGAAGGCCUUCGGGUUGUAAAGCACUUUCAGCAGGGAGGCGUUACCCGCAGAAGAAGCACCGGCUAACUCCGUGCCAGCCGCCGCGGUAAUUC